AGAGACAGCAGCAGCCGCGGGAAUACGUAGGUCCCGAGCGUUGUCCGGAUUUAUUGGGCGUAAAGCGAGCGCAGGCGGUUAGAUAAGUCUGAAGUUAAAGGCUGUGGCUUAACCAUAGUACGCUUUGGAAACUGUUUAACUUGAGUGCAGAAGGGGAGAGUGGAAUUCCAUGUGUAGCGGUGAAAUGCGUAGAUAUAUGGAGGAACACCGGUGGCGAAAGCGGCUCUCUGGUCUGUAACUGACGCUGAGGCUCGAAAGCGUGGGGAGCAAACAGGAUUAGAUACCCCAGUAGUCCCUGUCUCUUAUACA
rnacentral:rRNA from 1 species